AAGGGGGCUAGCGUUGUUCGGAAUUACUGGGCGUAAAGCGCACGUAGGCGGACUUUUAAGUCAGAUGUGAAAUCCCGGGGCUCAACCUCGGAACUGCAUUUGAAACUGGGAGUCUAGAGAUCAGGAGAGGUUAGCGGAAUACCGAGUGUAGAGGUGAAAUUCGUAGAUAUUCGGUGGAACACCAGUGGCGAAGGCGGCUAACUGG
rnacentral:rRNA from 1 species